rnacentral:tRNA from 1 species
UUCCGUCCCUGGGCGAUGAGGUCCAGCACUUCGUGCUCACGUUGCGUCAGGGUCGGGAAGGCCUCCGCGUGGUGUUCCGUCACCGGGGUGGUGA